ACAAACCCCAAGCGUGCAAUAAAAUUACCAGGUCUGCCGCUACUCGCUACCCGCGACCUUCCGUCGUUCGUAACCGCUUCAAACGUUUACCGUUGGGGACCGUCGUUGAUCCAAGAACAAAUGGACAUCCUCGCUGAUGAAUCCAACCCCAAAAUCCUUGUUAACACCUUCGAUGCUUUGGAACAAGAAGCAUUAAACGCCAUUGAAAAUUUCAACAUGAUCGGCAUCGGACCUUUAAUCCCAUCUUCUUUCUUGAACUCAAGUGACUCCUUGGAUAAUUCCUUGAGAACCGAUCUUUUUCAACCCGAUUCAAAAGAUUACCUCCAAUGGUUAGACUCCAAACCAAAAUCGGCCGUCGUUUACGUUUCCUUCGGGAGCAUUACGGUGUUAACGAAGCAACAAGUGGAGGAAAUCGCUCGAGCUUUAAUAUCCAGCCGGCGACCUUUUUUAUGGGUGGUGAGGAACCGGAAAGAUGGAGGCGAAGAAGAGAAAGAAGAAGAUAAACUGACUUGCAGGGAAGAAUUGGAACAGUAUGGGAGGGUGGUUCCAUGGUGUUCGCAAGUGGAAGUAUUGUCUCAUCCGUCGUUGGGUUGCUUCGUGACGCAUUGUGGGUGGAACUCGACGUUGGAGAGCAUGGUGGCCGGUGUACCGGUGGUGGCUUUCCCUCAAUGGACGGAUCAAGGGACUAAUGCGAAGCUGAUUGAAGAUGUGUGGGGGAAUGGGGUGAGAGUGAGUGCUAAUGAAGAAGGGAUGGUGGAACGUGAUGAGAUCGUUAGGUGCUUGGAUUUGGUGAUGGGGGAUGAUGAGAAAGGGAUGGAAGUGAAGAAAAACGUAGAGAAAUGGAAAGGGUUAGCCAGGGAAGCCUCCAUGGAAGGCGGCUCCAUGGAUAUGAAGCUUAAAGCUUUUGUGGAUGAUGUUGCUCAAGGUGGUUGUAAGUAAAUUUAUCAUUUUCAAAUAAAUUCACUGUUAUAAUAGCAGCUAUAAAGAUUGUAACUUCUUUAAUUUCUAAGUUUAUUUCUUUUUUUUUUUCCAUAUCUUUUAAAAAAUAUAUGUAAGAUUGAAAGGCCCAAACAAAAACUCCUGUUUUAAGGACCCAAGAAGAGCUGGUCUGUUUAGGCUGUGCUAUUUAUUACUUUUUAGAUGAGUUUUUGCAUGUAAAAGUAUUUUUUUUGAAAAAUAAUAAAGAAUAGACAUCAUUUCAGAAAUAUUUUUAACUUAAAAAAAUACUUUUUGGCAGAUGGAGAAAUUAAAAAUUUUAACUUUUCCGUCUGCCAAAAGUGCUUUUGACUUCUAUUUACAUUUUUAACCUUUUUCUUCUCCCAAAAUUUUUAGUAUUUAUAUUUGGUAUAUAAAUGUUAUCCAUUUUUAAAUCUUUAAUCUAAAUAUAUGUAAUAUUUUAAUUUGUUAGGUUUAUAUUUUCUAUGUUACGUUAAUAUCUAAUAAGAGUUAUAUAUUAAAAUACAUUUUAAAAUAAAAUAAUACAAAUGUGUUAAAAGCAUUAAUUAAAAAUAAAAAAUAAAUUUUAAAAUAAUACAAUUGUGUCAGUAUCUAAUUACAAAUAUUUAAUUAUUAUAUUUAAAUAUAGUUUAUAUAUUCUAAUUAAAUUUAAUAAAUAAUUAAUAUUAAUUACUUAGAAAAAUUUAAAAAUAAUAUUAUAUAUUAAAAUAUUAACAAUAAGUUAUAAUAAAUUAUUUUUAUAAUUUUGCUAAAAUAUCAUAAUAUUAACUAAUUUGAACAUUAUUUAAAUACAUAUUUGUUACUUUAUAAUAUCAUGUCUAAAAUGGACAUUUUAUUUCUCAAAAGCACUUUUUGACAGCAAUAUCAAACACUCAAAUUUUUCGAAAGCAUUUUUUAAAAGUACUUUUCCACAACACUUUUCAAAAAUACUUUUCAAAAGCAAUGAAGAACUGACCCUUAGUCUUUGUGCCCCAUCUAUCCAUCUCAAUCUCAAUCAAUGCUUUCCUUUCUUGCCUCAAGCACUCACUCGUUUCAUGACCUAUCCUAGUCUUCCCUUUCUUAACUUCAUGAUCUCAAAAAAAAAAAAAAACCCCAAAGUUUGAAUUCCGUCUAUGAACUUCCUAAGCAGAAUCAGGAUAUUUGAUUAAACAUGGAUGCUUCCAUUAUCAUAUGGAUUAAGGGUGCCAGUCAGUCUUAUUACGCCCCUAAUCCAACUUUCACCAUUCGAUAUAUGAUUAUAACCUAUACAACAACAGUCAAAUGUGUUGUUGUCGUACCUCUGUCCCUUCAAAAUUAUCUUUACUGUUGCUAUUCAUGUCUUCAUUUGAAUUGAUUUGUUUAUGGUUAUAUAUUGCCGAAUUUGAUUUGUAUAUGGAUAUACAUUGCUGAAUUAAUUUAUAUAUUGUUAUACAUUACCAAAUUUGAUUUGUAUAUAGAUAUACAUUGACAAAUUUGAUUCGUAUAUGGAUAUAUAUCGCCGAAUUGAUUUGAGCUUUGGAUUACUAGUUUUGUGCAUGAAUUGAUUUAAUUACGAAGUCGAAAGCUCCGAAUGAACCUUAGUAAAUGUAUUGGAUAUUGAUGUCAUGAUAUUAGGACUUUCAGGGUGUAAUUUCGCGUAAGACCAUGUCUGGGAUAUUGGCAUCGAAGUAAGAAAACGUGUAAGACCAUGUCUGGGACAGUGGAAUUGAUAUGUGUUAACAUAUAAGACCAUAUCCGAGAUAUUGUAUUGUACGAGUUUUAUAUGAUUUUCGUAUGAUCUUAACUAUUUCGAAUGUGAAUUUGAGUUGAAUGGUUCAGGUAUGUGUGAAGUUAUAUGUUCAUGCAAUAUUAAGGUAAGUUUAGCACUUAAUGUGAUAAUAUGCAAUUAUAUGAGUUAGUUAAAUGUUUAUGUGUUUGAGAUUUAUUUGAAUUCAACCUAGUUGAAUUGAAUUAUAAAUAUCAUUGAGAUGAUUGAGUAAGAGGUUAGUACGAGAUGAUACAGGUACAUACAGAACCUAUUCGAGUAUUUAAUAGAGAAAGAUAAUGAAAUGGUAUUUGAUCAUGUUUUAAGACAUUGAGAAAGGUUUGUUGUAAUUGUAUAUAUGGUGAUGUUAUGUACAAUUAGUUGAAUUGUAUGUAUUUGAUGUAUUGAAUUAUUCAUUUACGAACUUACUAAGCUAUGAAGCUUACUUCGUGUUAUUUUCUUAUGUUUUAUAGAGAAUCAAGGCUAGCUCGGAUCCAAAAGUCGUCGGGAACAUCAUCGCGCUAUCGAACAUCUAAGUUGGUACUUUUGAAUUGUAUAUAUAUGAUAUAUGAGAUGUAUAGGCUAGUGUCAUUUUGGUAUGUUUUGAGUUAUGAUAUUAGCCAUGAGAUUUGGCUUUUAAAGGUUGGUGUGUAUUUGGCCAUAUGAAUUGGUUGUUUAAGUGUUGAGAAAAUGCAUAUUUGAACCUAAGAUGAAUUGAUGGUUAUAGUAAGUUAAAUUGACAUAUUUUUGAGUUAAUUUGGUACUAAAAUUGAAAUGAAAUGAACGAAGUUUAUUAGUUAACUUUUAUAUAGUAUUAUGAAUGUUGUUGAUCAAUUUGAUAAGUAAAUGUUUUAGGCAUGAUUUAAAUAUGUUUAAAUGUGAAAAUGUGUUGGUUUCCAUAUUGAUUGUAAAUUGGUUGCAGUUGAAAUUGCAGGGAAUGUUAGAUAUUUAUAAAGAAGUUAUAUUGAGUUCGCAAAAAGAAAAAUUCUCCGAGUUUCCGAAUUAGUCCCGAAUCAUUCUUAACUCGUAUUAUGGACCUUGAGGGUUUAUCUAAGGGACUUUAAGAUUAUUUUAUAUUAUAUUUGAUAAUUAUUUGUAUAUUAAUUGUAAAUUGUCCGAUAGGUCUAGUAAUGCUCCAUAAUCCUAUUCCGGUGACGAACAUGGGUUAGGGGUGUUAUAAUAAGCAAUUUUUGGUGAAAGUUAUAGUGAAAGUUAUCAUAUUGAUGGUUAGGUGUGAUUGACCAUAGAGUUAUAAUUAUUAUAGUACAAAGAAAAGUUAACUGAGUUGAUUAGGGUGUGAGGUGAAUAAAUUAACUCUUCGAAAUUUUAAUAGCAGGAACGGAAGAAUAUUUAAAAAAAAAUUAAUUUGUUAUUUGAUUUAACAUAUAGAGACUGAUUUAUCUAUUUUUUAGUAUAGCUAGAGGAUAAAAUGCAAUCUGACAUCUAAUACAAUGACCUCAAUAAUACUUUUACCUACAGUUGCUAAAUUUAUAACUAUAAUCGUAAAUUUUCAGUUUUGGUUCUUCUAUUAUGGUUACGUUUAAGAUUUAAUUUUUUAAAGUAAGAUUUAAUCUUUAUAAUUAAAUUUGGCAUAAUUUGAUUGUCUAUUUUUACAAUGAUAUUAGGUAGUCGAAAUAAUUAACAUAUUUUUUAACUAUUCUAAUUAAGUUUUUAAUUUUUUUAAAAAUACUAUUCUAUAAAAAAAUUACUUUUACAUAAUGAAUCAGAAUAAAUGUUAUUAAAAAUAUUCACAUCUACUACAAAAAAUAUUAAGGGUGCUAAUUAUUUGAGUUAACUAAUGAUACGACCUUUUUUUCCCGACAUUAUAAGAUAAUGAUAAAAUUAUAGUUUUUAUAUCUCUAUUAUGCUCACAUUUGAGAUUUAAUAUUUAUAUUUUAAAUUAACAUCGUUUGAUCCUCUACUUUUAUAAUGAUAUUAGUUAUCCUAAAUAAUUAAUAUUUUUAACUAUAUCGAUUAAAAUGAUUACAUGAAUUUCUCUUAAAAACACCUUUCAAUACAAUAUAUAUAUUUCUACAUGAAGUUCGAAUGGGUAUUUUUAAGGAAAAUAUUGAUCUCGACAUUUUGACCACGAUAAUUAAAGGUAUCAACUAUUUCAACUAACUAAUAGUAUUAUGUAGAGGGACCAAAUUAUAUAAAAUUAAAGAAUAGAUAUUAAAUUCUAUAUUUAAACAUAGUAGAGAGACCAUAACCAUAAUUUAAUCUAAAACAAAUUAUCUCUAACAUAAUAUAAAUAUAUUAACUAUAAAAAAUUUAAAUUUUAUUCUACCCCUAAAAAAUUAUUCUGACUUUACCUUACCUGCUACAAUUUUUAGACCUUACAUAAGAUUGUUUUCUUAAAUAGUGCAUAUUAUAAUAUAUAUUUGGUUUUGCAAUUGUUUUUAACUUCGGCUUUUAAUUUGUCACAAAUAAAAUUUUUGACUUUAUUAAUAAUAAUAAUAAUAAUAAUGGAUAAUUUAAAAUAAAAUAUAUUUAUAUUUUAAUUUAUUGUAUUGGAAUUAAUGAGAGAAAAUUUAUGGUCCUUAUAGCGCAAGAAUGUGUGUGACAACGUGUUGAAUGUUUAUCCACACAAAAUCCAAAAGGAUUCAAGGAUCUUCAACUUCGUCAGUGCCUCUCAUCACUUCUAAAAACACUUUGCUUUCCUUUCUUACUUACUCCAAAUCCGACGUUCGUAGAAAAAGACCAAGUUAACUACCUACGUGCCGCCGUCACCAUCAUGUCACAGCCUCAUUUCCUCCUGGUGACCUACCCUGCACAAGGCCACAUAAACCCAACCUUACAAUUUGCCAGGCAUCUUAUACGUAUUGGCGUACGUGUAACUUUCAUCACCUGCAUCUCCGCUCGCCGCCGCAUGACCAAAGUCCCCACUGCUCAAGGCCUAACGUUUUUACCCUUUUCCGAUGGCUACGACGACGGUUUUCAACCCGGCGAUGACGUGGACCAUUACCGAUCUGAAUUUACGCGACGAGGCAAAGAAGCCAUCUCCGAGUUUAUAACAAGCGGUGAAAACGAAGGCAAACCCGUCACUUGCAUUGUCUACACCCUGUUCAUCCAUUGGGCCACGGAGGUGGCGCGUAAACAUCACAUCCCGACAGCUUUACUUUGGAUUCAACCCGCCUCCGUUUUUGACAUCUAUUAUUUUUACUUCAACGGAUACGAAUCCACCAUUAAAGCUCAAGCUGAAGAAACAAACCCCGAGCGUUCAAUCAAAUUACCAGGUCUGCUGCUACUCGCCACCCGCGACCUUCCGUCUUUCUUCACCGCUUCAAACGUUUACCGUUGGGCACUGUCGUUGUUCCAAGAACACAUGGACGUCCUCGCCGAUGAAUCCAACCCUAAAAUCCUUGUUAACACCUUCGAUGCUUUGGAACACGAAGCAUUAAACGCCAUUGAAAAUUUCAACAUGGUCGGCAUCGGACCUUUAAUCCCAUCUUCUUUCUUGAACUCAAGUGACUCCUUGGAUAAUUCCUUGAGAACCGAUCUUUUUCAACCCGAUUCAAAAGAUUACCUCCAAUGGUUAGACUCCAAACCAAAAUCGGCCGUCGUUUACGUUUCCUUCGGGAGCAUUACGGUGUUAACGAAGCAACAAGUGGAGGAAAUCGCUCGAGCUUUAAUAUCCAGCCGGCGACCUUUUUUAUGGGUGGUGAGGAACCGGAAAGAUGGAGGCGAAGAAGAGAAAGAAGAAGAUAAACUGACUUGCAGGGAAGAAUUGGAACAGUUUGGGAGGGUGGUUCCAUGGUGUUCGCAAGUGGAAGUAUUGUCUCAUCCGUCGUUGGGUUGCUUCGUGACGCAUUGUGGGUGGAACUCGACGUUGGAGAGCAUGGUGGCCGGUGUACCAGUGGUGGCUUUCCCUCAAUGGUCGGAUCAAGGGACUACUGCGAAGCUGAUUGAAGAUGUGUGGGGGAAUGGGGUGAGAGUGAGUGCUAAUGAAGAAGGGAUGGUGGAACGUGAUGAGAUCGUUAGGUGCUUGGAUUUGGUGAUGGGGGAUGAUGAGAAAGGGAUGGAAGUGAAGAAAAAUGUAGAGAAAUGGAAAGGGUUAGCCAGGGAAGCCUCCAUGGAAGGCGGCUCCAUGGAUAUGAACCUUAAAGCUUUUGUGGAUGAUGUUGCUCAAGGUGGUUGCAAGUAAAUUUAUCAUUUUCAAAUCAAUUCACUGUUAUAAUAGCAGCUAUAAAUAUUGUAACUUCUUUAAUUUCUAAGUUUAUUUCUUUUUCUUUUCCAUCAUCUUUUGUAAAAAAAAAAAUGUAAGAUUGAAAAGCCGAAACAAAAACUCCUCUUUUAAGGACCCAAGAGGAGCUGGUCUGUGUAGUCUUUGAGCCCCACCUGUCAAUCUCAAUCUCAAUCAAUGCUUUCCUUUCUUGCCUCAAGCACUCACUCGUUUCAUGUCCCAUCCUCGUUUUCCCUUCAUUAAUAUCACUCCACCUUCUAACUUAAUAAUUGAUACAUGAUCUCAAAAAAAAAAGAAAAAAAAAAAACCCAAAGUUUGAAUUCGGUCUAUGAGCUUCCUAAACAAAAUCAGGAUAUGUGAUUAAGCAUGGAUGCUUCCAUUAUCAUAUGGAUUAAGGGUGCCAGUCGGGCUUAUUACGCCCCUCAUCCAACUUUCACCAUUCGAUAUAUGAUUAUAACCUAACCAACAACAGUCAAAUGUGUUGUUGUCGUACCUCUAUCCCUUCAAAAAUCUCUUUACUGUUGCUACCCAUGUCUUCUUUGAUAUAUAUGCAUAUUUUUAACCUUACUGAGCUGUGGACUUCAUUUGACGUGUAACCAAGUUUUUGCUUUCUUUUCUUUCUUCUUCUUAUGUUUCCUGAAUUUAUAAAUUUUUUUCCAUUGGCUUCUAUUUAUGUUUUUUCAAAGAUUAAUAAUUGAAUUUAAUUAAAAAUAAUUAAAUUGGUAAAAUAUAUAAAUGUUGAGGACAAAAUUCAGUAUUAUCCCUUUUAAUACCUUUCAUCGUACUAGAUCAGGUAUUAUCGUACCAUGAAACUUGAAUAAGGGUGGGUUUGGAUGGGCGAUUGGGUGCGGUGCGGUGCGUUUAGCCUACUUUUUGUCUCACACUACAGUAUUGCUACAGUGGUAAACGCACCGCCCAUCCAAACUCACCCUAAGCCACCACACAAGUUUAUGCGCAUGUGGUUUUUUCUGGUUUAAUUCUGCUUCUAGUCCUUAUACUUUUUGAAAGUGAUGGAUUUAGUCCCAAUACUUCAAUUUGAUCACUUUUAGUCCUGAACUUUUCAAAAUGUUCAAUUUUAGUCCCUAUAUUUUUAGUCUUUUGAAAUUUUUGUCCUAAACCAAAUAAUAGUAGUUAAAUUUGUUUGUUUAAAUUCAAUUACUAGCAUGUAAUUGUAGAUUUAAUAUAUAUUAUCCAUUUUCUUUGCAAAGUCUGUGAAAAACAAAAAGGAUUGUUGAGAACAAUCCAAACACUAUCAAACACAGUUUAAAAAAAAAUAAAACAGAACAGCCUAACAAAUACUACUAAGCAGACAAAAACACUUUAACAACAGAUUUCCCCGUUGUAUUCUGCUGCAGAAAAUAGCAGACCAUCCCAGCAUCAUCCAUUCUGCUUCAGCAGCAAAUCACCAAGCAGCUUUAAAGAAGUUUUUCCUUGACAUGCCUGCCUUUGCUAAAGUUUCCGCCAUUCCACUCUUUUUUUGAUUAGUGAUUGCAAACUGGAUUUCGGCAAUAUGUCUACAUUCAUCUUCAAUUUCCGCAAACAACUUCCUUAGCGACCAUUGACGAAGAUUCCUAUAUUUCAACUAAUUCAAUACCGUAUUCAAAUCAAGCUCUAUAAUCAAAGGAAGUUGCACCUUAUGAAACAAAUUUGAAAACAUCUCUAUUGCUACUUUUAUAGCCAUCAGUACUACCAUUUCCAAACCCUCCACUGCACAGUUACCUGAAAAAGAGCUGAAACAACCCCUUUCUCGUCCCGCAACACCCCUCCGCAGCCCGCUCUUUCAUCCAAAGAAACCCCAGCCACAUUAAAUUUCAUCCAACCGCAAGGAGGUGGUUCCCUAUCCAUAACCCGCACAUUCCCCACCCUUUUUAACCGGACUGCUCUUCCUUGGCCACCCCCACCAAUCACUCUCUGUGAAAAUACAUUCCUCAUAGACCACUCUUGCCCAUACAAACGAUCUCAAUUUUGUUUGGUAAAUUAACAAGUCAAGUGUUGUAGCCUUACCUUCAAACACUUUCUCAUUACGAGAAAUCCAUCCUGACCAACAUGCUGCUGAUACUGCCAGUAACCAUAGACUUUUUUGAAUGCCAGACAAAGACACUCUCCAGCACAAGGAAAAGAAUUCCUCAAAGUUUGCUACGACGUCCUUCCAUCUCAACCCCCACCAGCAAAAUAUACACGACCAGAAUCUUUUCACAAAGGAGCAUUCAAAAAAAAGUGAUUGGUAGAUUCCGCCACUCUCUCGCACCAUGGACACCCACUAUCCGAAGAGUCGAUAAUAAUUCCUCUACUAAUAAAAAAUUCUUUCGUUGGAACACGAUUAAUCGCCAUCAUCUAUAAGAAGCUACGCUUUCUUGGUGGGACUUUCAAUUUCCAGAUUCUAUCAAACUGAAAUUCUACCGUUCCCAUCCCAUCACACAUUCACGACAUUAGUUGCACGCCCAGCUACAAACGAACCUGGCUCGGAUAGCAAAAAUGUAGGGAAAAAAUAGUCACAGAAGACUAUAGUCAAACAACGUGUAUGCAAGGAAAAUACUAAACUAGAAAAUUUAAAAAGAAAGAAAAGCUGAACUCAAAAUGACUGAAGUUGCUGUAUUAUUCACACACAAAAUGAAAUAAACGUAGGCCUAUAAAUAGCCUUUACACCAUAACAAACUAACGUAAAAAUGUGCAACACUAUUGCACGAUCAUAACAAAAAAUAGAGAAAUAAGGAAAAUAACAAACUAAGCAUAGCACAGCAAAUCUAAAUUUAGAAAAACUGACUUUGAAUCAUUCUCCAACAUCGAAAAUGGUGGAGGGUUGAAUCCAGAGUAAAGUUGACGGGAUGUGAUGUUUACGCGCCACCUCCGUAGCCCAAUGAAGGAGCAAAUAGUAGACAAUGCAAGUGAUGGGUUUACCUUCGUUUUCACUACUUGUUAUAAACUCAGAGAUGGCAUCUCUGCCUCGUCUCUUGAAUUCAGACAUGUAAUUGUCUGUGUCAUUGCCGGGUUUAAUUUCGUCGUCAUAGCUAUCCGAAAAAGGUAAAAACGAUAGGCCUUCAGCAGUGGGGGACUUUGGUCAUGCGACUGCUGGCGGAGAUGCUGGUGAUGAAAGUUACACGUACGUCGAUAGGUACAAGAUGCUUGGCGAAUUGUAAGGUCGGGUUUAUGUGGCCUUGUGCAGGAUAGGUCACUACGAUGAAAUGAGGCUGUGGCAUGAUGGUGACGGCGGCGCGUGUUGGCGCGUAAUUCGUGAAGGAAAUUAAUGGGUUUUUAUAGUGAAGAGAGGCAUUGAUAGAAGGUGACGUUUGAGCUGACGAAUUUCAAAGAUUCCUAAACCUUGUUGGACUUAUCUAGUGUUUUUUCAAUGCUUAGGUUGCAGCUUGAUGCAUGAUGCUGUUAGAGACAGUUUCAUACUACACGACUCUUGGGGGUUUGAAUUUAAUUCACGAAUUAUAAUUUAGGUUAAACUAAACCCCAACACUAAACUAGUCAGUUUAUAUUUGGUUAAACUACCUACCAAGUUAUCCAUCUAUGCCUAAACUUUCAAAAUGGUCAUUCAACUAAUUGGGUUUCAGUUUUUUAUCCAUUUCCCUUAAGCAUAGAUAAAUGCCUUACCUUUGCAUACUUGGUAGGGUUAAUUUUUAAAAAUUAUGACUAAAUUGAUACAAUAUGUAAAAUUUGAGGAAAAAAAUUGUUAUUAUCCUAAUAUUUAAACAGUCACUUCAACUUUCUAUCAAACACUUAAUGGAAAUGGACCAAAAAAAUAAAUCAGAAUAGUUAGGUGACCAUUUUGAAAGUUUUAAAAGUUGAGUGAUAAAAAAAAAAAACUUAAACAUGUUUAAUAGUAUUAAUGUGUCGAACAAUUAAAGUAUCCACUUGUCAUUGUUUUCUUGAAUAUUGUGUAUAUCAUAUAUAAUAAAGGAUUGUAUAACGCUAGCUGUCAUUUUACAUCAUACCUUUUCUUCUCCAAUAAGAGAAUGAUAAAUUAAAUUUUUUCUCUUAAAAAAAUUCAAAUUCAAAUAAAAAUGUAAUAUAAAAUCAUAAUUUCAUAUAAUCACAGUUUCAUACAAUAUUUUCUCUUAGAAUAUAUAUUUAUAAUGUAUAUAUAUAUUCCAUUUUUCAAUUGUUUCUAACUUUGUUCUUUUAGUUUGUCACAGACAAAAAUUUUGACUUCGAUAUUAUUAAUAAAAAAUUAUUAUUGUCCUUGUAGCGGAAGAAUGUGUGUGACAACGUGAUAAGUAUUUUUCCAAACAAAAUCCAAAAGGAUUUAGGGAUCUUCAAAUUCGUCAGCCCAAACGUCACCUUUUUUCAGUGCCUCUCAUCACUUAUAAAAACACUUUGAUUUCCUUUCUUAGUUACUCCAAAUCCGACGUUCGUAAAAAAAGACCAGGUGAACUACCUACGUGCCGCCGUCACCACCAUGUCACAGCCUCAUUUCCUCCUAGUGACCUUCCCUGCACAAGGCCACAUAAACCCAACCUUACAAUUUGCCAAGCAUCUUAUACGUAUUGGCGUACGUGUAACUUUCAUCACCUGCAUCUCCGCUCACCGCCGCAUGACCAAAGUCCCCACUGCUCAAGGCCUAACGUUUUUACCGUUUUCCGAUGGCUACGACGACGGUUUUCAACCCGGUGAUGACAUAGAACAUUACCUAUCUGAAUUGAGGCGACGAGGCAAAGAAGCCAUCUCCGAGUUCAUAACAAGCAGUGAAAACGAAGGCAAACCCGUCACUUGCAUUGUCUACACCCUGUUCAUCCAUUGGGCCUCGGAGGUGGCGCGUAAACAUCACAUCCCGACAGCUUUACUUUGGAUUCAACCCGCCACCGUUUUCGACAUCUAUUAUUUUUACUUCAACGGAUACGAAUCCACCAUUAAAGCUCCAGUUGAUGAAACAAACCCAAAGCGUUCAAUAAAAUUACCAGGUCUGCCGCUACUCGCCACCCGCGACCUUCCGUCGUUCGUCACCGCUUCAAACGUUUACCGUUGGGCACUGUCGUUGUUCAAAGAACAAAUGGAUGUCCUCGCUGAUGAAUCCCACCCCAAAAUCCUUGUUAACACAUUCGAUGCUUUGGAACACGAAGCAUUAAACGCCAUUGAAAAUUUCAACAUGGUAGGCAUCGGACCUUUAAUCCCAUCUUCUUUCUUGAACUCAAAUGACUCCUUGGAUAAUUCCUUGAGAACCGAUCUUUUUCAAUCCGAUUCAAAAGAUUACAUCCAAUGGUUAGACUCCAAACCAAAAUCGGCCGUCGUUUACGUUUCCUUCGGGAGCUAUGCUGUGUUAACGAAGCGACAAGUGGAGGAAAUCGCUCGAGCUUUAAUAUCCAGCCGGCGACCCUUUUUAUGGGUGGUGAGGAACCGGACAAAUGGAGGCGAAGAAGAGAAAGAAGAAGAUAAACUGACUUGCAGGGAAGAAUUGGAACAGUUUGGGAUGGUGGUUCCAUGGUGUUCGCAAGUGGAAGUAUUGUUUCAUCCAUCGUUGGGUUGCUUCGUGACGCAUUGUGGGUGGAA
rnacentral:lncRNA from 1 species